CGCGCGUCGCCGACUUACCUUCCUCCGCGGUGUCCAUCUUGUCUGGGGGGGCGGCGGUGACGCAGCCACGAGGCUCCCGCGGCCGGGCGGGGAAAGAGUGAGGGGAGAGGAGGAGGGAGCCGGGCCCGGGCAGGAACUCAACUGUUAGGCAGAAGGGAGGAAUGUACUGUUGAUAUGGACAGACUCCAAGAAGGGGAGGGACUGCUGGGACUACUGGAAUGAGAAUGCCUCUGCCCCCAUGGCUCAGCUCUGCCACUCUCUCUGCACAUUGGCUUCAUGCUGUUAGACCAGCUUCCUCCAUAUGUCUGGAAACAAGGCCACUGACAGCUCCCAACAUUUCAUCUUCUGCCUCAUCAUCAGACAGGCGAGUGCAGUGGCAUAAUCUCGGCUCACUGCAACCUUUGCCUCCUGGGUUCAAGCAAAGACUGGAAUGAUGCAGCUUCAGGCCAAGGAAUGCUGGCAGCCACCAGAAGCUGAAGGACACAAGGAAUGGAUUCUCAGAGCCUCGGCAGGAAAUGUGGCCCUGCCAACACCUUGAUUUCAGACUUCUCAACUCCAGUACUGGGAGGGAAUAAACUUCUGUUGUUUUAAGCCUCCCAGUUUGUGAUAAUUUGCUACAGCAGCCACAGGAAGCAAAUAAGGAGGGCCUAUUUGGAGGAGGAUGCAAACCCAGCAGUGGGUGACGAACUAUUCAUACUUACAGCUACCUUAUUCAUCACUAGUCUAGACUUAAGCAUUGACUUCAUCACUGAAAAGGCUGCAGCUGAGCCUAGAGUUUCAGGUUCCUGUGCUGCAUAUGGCUACAGUGAUUCUUAGGUCAGCUCCCUAGGAUGCAGUUGAGUCUCUCUCUAACUGCUGAGUCUCUUUAAAUAUACAGCUGGGGCUGGGUGCGGUGGCUCACACCUCUAAUCCUAGCACUUUUGGAGGUUGAGGAGGGAGGAUCACUGGAACCCAGGAGUUCAAGACCAGCGUUGCCAACAUAGUGAAAACCAUCCCUACUAAAAAAAUACAAAAAUUAGCCGGGCAUGGUGGCGCACACCUGUAAUCCCAGCUACUCGAGAGGCUGCGGUGGGAGAAUCACUUGAACCUGAGAGGCAGAGGCUGCAGUGAGCCAACAUCGUGCCACUACACUCCAGCCUGGGCAACAGAAUGACACUCUGUCUCAAAACUACGUAAAUAAAUAAAUAAAAUCUACAGCGGGCCCUCCCUGUUCAUGGGUUCUGCAUCCAUGGAUUCAACCAACUGUGGAUCAAGAAUAGGUUCAUCUGUACUAAACAUGUAUAGACUUUUCUUCUUGUCUGUAUUCCCUAAAUGAAAUAGUAUGACAAGCCAAGCAUGGUGGCUCACACCUGUAAUCACAGCACUUUGGGAGGCUGAGGCAGGAGGAUUGCUUGAGCCCAGGAGUUUGAGACCAGCCUAAGCAACAUAGACCCCAACUCUACCAAAAAAUUUUUUUAGCCAGGCAUGGUGGCAUGUGCCUGUAGUCUUGGCUACUCAGGAGGCUGAAGUGGGAGGUUCACUUGAGCCCAGGAGGUCAAGGUUGUAGUGAGCUGUGAUCGCGCCACAGCCCUCCAGCCGGGACGACAGAGUGAGACCCUGUCUCAAACAAACAAACAUAGAUAUAUAGUACGCCAACUUACAUAACAUUUACAUUGUAUUAGGCAUUAUAAGUAACCUAGACAUGAUUUAAAGGAGGAUAUGAAUAGGUUACAUGCAAAUUCUAUACCAUUUUAUAUAAGGAACUUGAUCACCCAUGGAUUUUGGGUGCAGGGUCUGGAAACCAAUCCCCCACAGAUAUUGUGGAGAGAUCAUACAUUUUCAUCUGAUAUUUUGACUUCUAACCUGAAAUUGUAUAUUUGCUCCAAAGUGAAACUCUUCCUAAGAGUUUUUAUCUUAGACACAUGGAAUCCAAAGAACCUUGAGGAAUUAUCUGGCAUAUCUCACUCCAUUAUUCAUGGAAACCAUUGAGCUCUGACGCUGAAUAUCUCUUGUUAGCUUCUCGCGUGUCUUUAUUGUUUUAUGGACUGAAUGUUUAUGUCCCCCCAAAAUUCAUAUGUUAAAAUCCUAAUCCCCAAUGUGCUGGUACUAGGAGGUGAGGCCUUUGGGAGAUAAUUGGGUUUAGAUGAGGUCGUGAAGACAAGGUCCCCAUGAUGGGAUUAGUGAGUUUUCUUAUAGGAUUUAGGCCACUCGGUCUAUGAUAUUCUGAAAUAGCAGCCUGAACUGAAACAAGACAAUUAUCAUCAAACAUCA